GCACGAGACUCUCACAAGUCAGAAGGCUCUAUGUUCAAAUUGCUGCUCUGCCAUUUAUUGUGUGACUUAGUUUCCCUGCAGUGAUCUCGAUAGCUGACAUAGCAUUCUGAUGUUUAUAUACAUCGAUUCUUACAACAACCUCUAUUUUACAGAUGAGGAAACUAUAACUAAGAGAGAUGAGGUAACUUGACUAGGAUUAAGUAUCUAAUGAAGUUAGGUCUCUCUUGAAUUAAAGUCCAGGACACUGAACUAUUUCAUUCUCUUGAGGACCACCAUGUAGGAACCAAAAAAGUGACUUAGGGUGGUGGAAAGUACCCUGACCAGGUUCAGAUCUUGCCUCUGCUGCUUAUUAUUUGUGUGACCUUCAGCAAAGCUUUCCCCCUUGCUGAGCCUGUUUCUUCCUGUGUAAGACAAGGGACCAGACCAUCUAUGAUGAUCCUUCCAGCUACUAAAUCUUCAAGUCUACACUUUCUUUCCCUGGCAUUCUUUGUUCAAGCUAGUUUCCUUCCCCCUGCUGUCCUGAUCCUUCCUCUCCCUUUGCAGGACCACAAGGAUGCACAGCACAUGACACAAAUACAUACAGGAGAGGAUGGAGUGAGGAGACAACUAUUUUUUAAGUGCUGGGCACUAUGCUAAGCAUGUUACAAAUAGGGUUUCACAACAACCCCAUGAGGUGCAGGUGAUAGAGUACCUGGAUCUGGGAACUUGAGCCAUGGAAAUUCUGGAACUGGGAUUCUAGGCUGGAUAUUGCUGCCAGUUCAGGAAGGAAACUCUGAGAAGCUGGGGUACCUGGAUGGAAGGCCAGGGGAGUUUAGACUUGGAAGUUGGAAGGAACUGAGCUAAACUGUGAAUCUAAUCUCUCCUCCCCAGGUGCUGAGGUAGUAUGGGGUGGGGGGAGAUUAUUUUCCUCAUGGGUUGAGAGAGU
rnacentral:lncRNA from 1 species